rnacentral:rRNA from 1 species
GAUGAACGCUGGCGGCGUGCUUAACACAUGCAAGUCGAACGAUGAAGCCCAGCUUGCUGGGUGGAUUAGUGGCGAACGGGUGAGUAACACGUGAGUAACCUGCCCUUAACUCUGGGAUAAGCCUGGGAAACUGGGUCUAAUACCGGAUAGGAGCGUCCACCGCAUGGUGGGUGUUGGAAAGAUUUAUCGGUUUUGGCUGGACUCGCGGCCUAUCAGCUUUUUGGUGAGGUAAUGGCUCACCAAGGCGACGACGGGUAGCCGGCCUGGGAGGGUGACCGGCCACACUGGGACUGAGACACGGCCCAGACUGCUACGGGAGGCAGCAGUGGGGAAUAUUGCACAAUGGGCGCAAGCCUGAUGCAGCGACGCCGCGUGAGGGAUGCCGGCCUUCGGGUUGUAAACCUCUUUCAGUAGGGAAGAAGCGAAAGUGACGGUACCUGCAGAAGAAGCACCGGCUAACUACGUG